rnacentral:rRNA from 1 species
AUUAAACGCUGGCGGCAUGCCUUACACAUGCAAGUCGAACGGUAGCGCGGGGCAACCUGGCGACGAGUGGCGAACGGGUGAGUAAAGCAUCGGAACGUGCCCUGGAAUGGGGGAUAACGUAGCGAAAGUUACGCUAAUACCGCAUAUUCUGUGAGCAGGAAAGCAGGGGAUCGCAAGACCUUGCGUUCUGGGAGCGGCCGAUGUCGGAUUAGCUAGUUGGUGGGGUAAAAGCCUACCAAGGCGACGAUCCGUAGCGGGUCUGAGAGGAUGAUCCGCCACACUGGGACUGAGACACGGCCCAGACUCCUACGGGAGGCAGCAGUGGGGAAUUUUGGACAAUGGGCGCAAGCCUGAUCCAGCCAUGCCGCGUGCGGGAAGAAGGCCUCGGUGUAAGACUCUUUCGGUCAGGAACGAAACGGUAGGUCCCGUAAUACGGGCUACUAAUGACGGUACCUGAAGAAGAAG